AUUGAACGCUGGCGGCAGGCCUAACACAUGCAAGUCGAGCGAGCGGCGGACGGGUGAGUAAUGUAUGGGGAUCUGCCUGAUGGCGGGGGAUAACUACUGGAAACGGUAGCUAAUACCGCAUACCAUCAGCUGAACCCAUGUGGGAUUAGCUAGUAGGUGGGGUAACGGCUUACCAAGGCGACGCGCCCUAGCUGGUCUGAGAGGAUGAUCAGCCACACUGGGACUGAGACACGGCCCAGACUCCUACGGGAGGCAGCAGUGGGGAAUAUUGCACAAUGGGCGCAAGCCUGAUGCAGCAAGGCCGCGUGUAUGAAGAAGGCUUUCGGGUCGUAAAGUACUUUCAGUCGGGAGGCGUUACCGACAGAAGAAGCACCGGCUAACUACGUGCCAGCAGCCGCGGUAAUUC
rnacentral:rRNA from 1 species